CACGCGCAGGCUGCUUCUGUCCCGACUCCCCUGAGAGUUUAGGGGGGCGGUGGUGAUAAGAGGAUGGAAGGUGACGAAUCCCCUGGCUGCCCCUCCCAGCAAGAGGGAACUAGAGGCUUUCGGCAUCCAGGCUUCCAGAUGUUUCCUCCCAGCUCCACUGUGGCUGAGGAGGCACCCACCCGAAUGAGAGAAAGCCAAGGGUGAAGAAAGAAGGCUGGGUCACACCAGUGAGUGGACAGUUUGCCUCAACCUCAGCACAGAGACAUCGGUGCGGCUGUCCCGUGAACCUGGACGGCAUCUCACGCCCAUCGCAGAGAAACCCUGUGUAUGUUCGGUUGAUGAGAAUCUGAGCCAUACCCUUGUGAUUUG